rnacentral:rRNA from 1 species
UGCUCUUUAUACCAAAAAAAUUUUUCAUCUAAGUGAAAAGACUUAGAUACUAAAGGAAGACGAAAAGACCCCGCGGAACUUCAUCUUUUCUUACACUACUGCCCAGUAGCACAAAGAUGUAAAAGAUUUGAUUGGGGCAAUCUCGGAACUACCCAACCUUCCGAUUCCUACUAAAUUACAUCCAAAAUUUGGUACAGACAAAACAGCAGUUACCCCGGGGAUAACAGCGUCAUCCAACUUAAGAGUACACAUCGAAAGUUGGGUUUGCGACCUCGAUGUUG